rnacentral:rRNA from 1 species
GGUUAAGCGACUAAGCGUACACGGUGGAUGCCCUGGCAGUCAGAGGCGAUGAAGGACGUGCUAAUCUGCGAAAAGCGCCGGCGAGGUGAUAUGAACCUUUGACCCGGCGAUGUCCGAAUGGGGAAACCCAGUGCAAUUCGUUGCACUAUCGUUAACUGAAUACAUAGGUUAACGAGGCGAACCGGGGGAACUGAAACAUCUAAGUACCCCGAGGAAAAGAAAUCAACCGAGAUUCCCCCAGUAGCGGCGAGCGAACGGGGAGCAGCCCAGAGUCUGAAUCAGCUUGUGUGUUAGUGGAAGCGUCUGGAAAGUCGCACGGUACAGGGUGACAGUCCCGUACACGAAAGCACACAGGCUGUGAACUCGAAGAGUAGGGCGGGACACGUGGUAUCCUGUCUGAAUAUGGGGGGACCAUCCUCCAAGGCUAAAUACUCCUGACUGACCGAUAGUGAACCAGUACCGUGAGGGAAAGGCGAAAAGAACCCCGGCGAGGGGAGUGAAAAAGAACCUGAAACCGUGUACGUACAAGCAGUGGGAGCACCUUCGUGGUGUGACUGCGUACCUUUUGUAUAAUGGGUCAGCGACUUAUAUUCUGUAGCAAGGUUAACCGUAUAGGGGAGCCGAAGGGAAACCGAGUCUUAACUGGGCGUUAAGUUGCAGGGUAUAGACCCGAAACCCGGUGAUCUAGCCAUGGGCAGGUUGAAGGUUGGGUAACACUAACUGGAGGACCGAACCGACUAAUGUUGAAAAAUUAGCGGAUGACUUGUGGCUGGGGGUGAAAGGCCAAUCAAACCGGGAGAUAGCUGGUUCUCCCCGAAAGCUAUUUAGGUAGCGCCUCGUGAACUCAUCUUCGGGGGUAGAGCACUGUUUCGGCUAGGGGGCCAUCCCGGCUUACCAACCCGAUGCAAACUACGAAUACCGAAGAAUGUUAUCACGGGAGACACACGGCGGGUGCUAACGUCCGUCGUGAAGAGGGAAACAACCCAGACCGCCAGCUAAGGUCCCAAAGUCAUGGUUAAGUGGGAAACGAUGUGGGAAGGCACAGACAGCCAGGAUGUUGGCUUAGAAGCAGCCAUCAUUUAAAGAAAGCGUAAUAGCUCACUGGUCGAGUCGGCCUGCGCGGAAGAUGUAACGGGGCUAAACCAUGCACCGAAGCUGCGGCAGCGACGCGUAUGCGUUGUUGGGUAGGGGAGCGUUCUGUAAGCCGUUGAAGGUGUCCUGUGAGGGGUGCUGGAGGUAUCAGAAGUGCGAAUGCUGACAUAAGUAACGAUAAAGCGGGUGAAAAGCCCGCUCGCCGGAAGACCAAGGGUUCCUGUCCAACGUUAAUCGGGGCAGGGUGAGUCGACCCCUAAGGCGAGGCCGAAAGGCGUAGUCGAUGGGAAACAGGUUAAUAUUCCUGUACUUGGUGUUACUGCGAAGGGGGGACGGAGAAGGCUAUGUUAGCCGGGCGACGGUUGUCCCGGUUUAAGCAUGUAGGCGGAGGUUCCAGGUAAAUCCGGUACCUUUUUAACGCUGAGGUGUGAUGACGAGGCACUACGGUGCUGAAGUAACAAAUGCCCUGCUUCCAGGAAAAGCCUCUAAGCAUCAGGUAACAUCAAAUCGUACCCCAAACCGACACAGGUGGUCAGGUAGAGAAUACCAAGGCGCUUGAGAGAACUCGGGUGAAGGAACUAGGCAAAAUGGUGCCGUAACUUCGGGAGAAGGCACGCUGAUAUGUAGGUGAAGCCCCUGCGGGUGGAGCUGAAAUCAGUCGAAGAUACCAGCUGGCUGCAACUGUUUAUUAAAAACACAGCACUGUGCAAACACGAAAGUGGACGUAUACGGUGUGACGCCUGCCCGGUGCCGGAAGGUUAAUUGAUGGGGUUAGCGGCAACGCGAAGCUCUUGAUCGAAGCCCCGGUAAACGGCGGCCGUAACUAUAACGGUCCUAAGGUAGCGAAAUUCCUUGUCGGGUAAGUUCCGACCUGCACGAAUGGCGUAAUGAUGGCCAGGCUGUCUCCACCCGAGACUCAGUGAAAUUGAACUCGCUGUGAAGAUGCAGUGUACCCGCGGCAAGACGGAAAGACCCCGUGAACCUUUACUAUAGCUUGACACUGAACACUGGUCCUUGAUGUGUAGGAUAGGUGGGAGGCUUUGAAGCGUGGACGCCAGUCUGCGUGGAGCCAUCCUUGAAAUACCACCCUUUAAUGGCUGGUGUUCUAACGUAGACCCGUAAUCCGGGUUGCGGACAGUGUCUGGUGGGUAGUUUGACUGGGGCGGUCUCCUCCCAAAGAGUAACGGAGGAGCACGAAGGUUAGCUAAUCCUGGUCGGACAUCAGGAGGUUAGUGCAAUGGCAUAAGCUAGCUUGACUGCGAGAGUGACGGCUCGAGCAGGUGCGAAAGCAGGUCAUAGUGAUCCGGUGGUUCUGAAUGGAAGGGCCAUCGCUCAACGGAUAAAAGGUACUCCGGGGAUAACAGGCUGAUACCGCCCAAGAGUUCAUAUCGACGGCGGUGUUUGGCACCUCGAUGUCGGCUCAUCACAUCCUGGGGCUGAAGUAGGUCCCAAGGGUAUGGCUGUUCGCCAUUUAAAGUGGUACGCGAGCUGGGUUUAGAACGUCGUGAGACAGUUCGGUCCCUAUCUGCCGUGGGCGCUGGAGAAUUGAGGGGGGCUGCUCCUAGUACGAGAGGACCGGAGUGGACGCAUCACUGGUGUUCGGGUUGUCAUGCCAAUGGCACUGCCCGGUAGCUAAAUGCGGAAAAGAUAAGUGCUGAAAGCAUCUAAGCACGAAACUUGCCCCGAGAUGAGUUCUCCCUGACCCUUUAAGGGUCCUGAAGGAACGUUGAAGACGACGACGUUGAUAGGUCGGGUGUGUAAGCGCAGCGAUGCGUUGAGCUAACCGAUACUAAUGAACCGUGAGGCUUAACCUU